rnacentral:rRNA from 2 species
GGAGGUAGUGACAAUAAAUCACAAUGCGGGACUAUUUAGUUUUGCAAUUGAAUUGAGAACAAUGUACAAGAGUUAUCGAUAAACAAUUGGAGGGCAAGUCUGGUGCCAGCAGCCGCGGUAAUUCCAGCUCCAAUAGCGUAUAUUAACGUUGUUGCAGUUAAAAAGCUCGUAGUUGAAGUGUGGGAUAAUGUAUAUUGGAUCUUUUAGUGAAGAUAUAUGUUGUCCCCCCUCCAAUUUCGGUCUGUGGGUAUUAAUUUACUUGCAGUUCGUGUUGGUCAUUUACUGUGAGAAAAUUAGAGUGUUCAAAGCAGGCAUUUGCUUGAAUAUAUUAGCAUGGAAUAAUAAUAAAAGGCUUGUAUGGUCGAUUUAAUUGGUUUGUUCAUAUAAGCAAGAUUAAUAGGGACAGUUGGGGGUAUUCAUAUUCAAUAGUUAGAGGUGAAAUUCUCGGAUUUAUGGAAGAUGAACAAGUGCGAAAGCA